UGCGCAGGCGGAAGAUUAGGUCGGAUGUGAAAACCCCGGGCUUAACCCGGGGCCUGCAUUCGAAACCAACCUUCUUGAGUAUCGGAGAGGAAAGCGGAACUCCAGGUGUAGCGGUGAAAUGCGUAGAUAUCUGGAGGAACACCGGUGGCGAAGGCGGCUUUCUGGACGAAUACUGACGCUCAUGCACGAAGGCUAGGGGAGCAAACA
rnacentral:rRNA from 1 species